rnacentral:rRNA from 1 species
GACGAACGCUGGCGGCGUGCCUAAUACAUGCAAGUCGAGCGAAUGGAUUAAGAGCUUGCUCUUAUGAAGUUAGCGGCGGACGGGUGAGUAACACGUGGGUAACCUGCCCAUAAGACUGGGAUAACUCCGGGAAACCGGGGCUAAUACCGGAUACCAUUUUGAACCGCAUGGUUCGAAAUUGAAAGGCGGCUUCGGCUGUCACUUAUGGAUGGACCAGCGUCGCAUUAGCUAGUUGGUGAGGUAACGGCUCACCAAGGCAACGAUGCGUAGCCGACCUGAGAGGGUGAUCGGCCACACUGGGACUGAGACACGGCCCAGACUCCUACGGGAGGCAGCAGUAGGGAAUCUUCCGCAAUGGACGAAAGUCUGACGGAGCAACGCCGCGUGAGUGAUGAAGGCUUUCGGGUCGUAAAACUCUGUUGUUAGAGAAGAACAAGUGCAAGUUGAAUAAGCUGGCACCUUGACGGUACCUAACCAGAAAGCCACGGCUAACUACGUGCCAGCCGCCGCAGUAA